GAUGAACGCUGGCGGCGUGCCUAAUACAUGCAAGUCGAGCGAACAGACGAGGAGCUUGCUCCUUUGACGUUAGCGGCGGACGGGUGAGUAACACGUGUGUAACCUACCUAUAAGACUGGGAUAACUUCGGGAAACCGGCGCUAAUACCGGAUAAUAUUUCGAACCGCAUGGUUCGAUGGUGAAAGAUGGCUUUGCUAUCACGUAUAGAUGCUCCUGAGCGGUAUUAGCUAGUUGGUAAGGUAACGGCUUACCAAGGGAAGGAUACGUAAGCGACGUGAAAGGGUGGUCGGCGACCUUGGAGCUGGGCCAGGGACCAGACGACUACGGGAGGCCCCAGUAGGGAAUCUUCCGCAAUGGGCGAAGACCUGACGGAACAACGCCGCGUGAGUUAUGAAGGUCUUCGGAUCGUAAAGCUCUGUUAUUAGGUGAGAACAAACGUGGAAGUUACCGUGCACGUCUUGACGGUACCUAAUCAGAAAGCCCCGGCUAACUACGUG
rnacentral:rRNA from 1 species